CGGCGUGCUUAACACAUGCAAGUCGAACGAACCUUCGGGUUAGUGGCGGACGGGUGAGUAACGCGUGAGAAUCUGCCCUCAGGAGGGGGACAACAGCUGGAAACGGCUGCUAAUACCCCAUAUGCCGCGAGGUGAAAUGAAUUUCGCCUGAGGAUGAGCUCGCGUCUGAUUAGCUAGUUGGUGUAGGUAAUGGCUCACCAAGGCAUCGAUCAGUAGCUGGUCUGAGAGGAUGAUCAGCCACACUGGGACUGAGACACGGCCCAGACUCCUACGGGAGGCAGCAGUGGGGAAUUUUCCGCAAUGGGCGAAAGCCUGACGGAGCAACGCCGCGUGAGGGAUGA
rnacentral:rRNA from 1 species